GCUCUCAUAGUUCAACGGAUAGAACAGGAGUUUCCGAAAUUUCAGAUGUGGGUUCAAUUCCCGCUGAGGGCACCA
rnacentral:tRNA from 3 species